CAGCCGCCGCGGUAACACCAGCCCCUCGAGUGGUGGGGAUGAUUAUUUGGCCUAAAGCGUCCGUAGCCGGCCGAGCAAGUCUUCCGUUAAAUCCAGCGUCUCAAGCGUUGGACCGCGGGAGAUACUACACGGCUAGAGAGUGGGAGAGGUCAGCGGUGUUCUGGGGGUAGGGGCGAAAUCCUUUGAUCCCCGGAGGACCACCAGUGGCGAAGGCUACUGACUAGAACACGUCUGACGGUCAGGGACGAAAGCUGGGGUAGCGAACCGGAUUAGAUACCCGGGUAGUCCCAGCCGUAAACGAUGCAUGCUAGGUGUUGGGUUGGCCACGAGCCACCCCAGUGCCGCAGGGAAGCCGUUAAGCAUGCCGCCUGGGAAGUACGAUCGCAAGGUUGAAACUUAAAGGAAUUGGCGGGGGAGCAC
rnacentral:rRNA from 2 species